rnacentral:ncRNA from 1 species
AAUAAGGGUUUGAUCCGGAUUUUUAUGGAAACUUACUAAGUGAUAACUUUCAAAUUCAGAGAAACCCUGGAAUUAAUAAAAAUGGGCAAUCCUGAGCCAAAUCACGUUUUCCAAAAACAAACAAAGGUUCAGAAAGCGAAAAUAAAAAAGGAUAGGUGCAGAGACUCGAUGGAAGCUGUUCUAACGAAUGGAGUUGAUUGUCUUACAUGGGUAGAGGAAAUGGUAGACACGCGAGACUCAAAAUCUCGUGCUAAAGAGCGUGGAGGUUCGAGUCCUCUUCAAGGCA